rnacentral:rRNA from 1 species
GUGCUCAACACGAUGCAAGUGGAGCGACGAACCGGGCUCGGCCCGGGGCAAAGCCGCGAACGGGUGAGUAACACGUGGGUAACCUGCCCCGAUGACUGGGACAACCCGAGGAAACUCGGGCUAAUACCGGAUGUGCUCUCUUCACGACCAGUGAAGUGAGUAAAGGUAGCUUCGGCCUCCGCAUCGGGAUGGGCCCGCGGCCCAUUAGCUUGUUGGUGAGGUAACGGCUCACCAAGGCCGCGAUGGGUAGCUGGUCUGAGAGGACGAUCAGCCACACUGGGACUGAGACACGGCCCAGACUCCUACGGGAGGCAGCAGUGGGGAAUCUUGCGCAAUGCGCGAAAGCGUGACGCAGCAACGCCGCGUGGGUGAAGAAGGCCUUCGGGUUGUAAAGCCCUUUCAGGAGGGACGAAGCUUCGGUCGUUAAUAGCGGUCCGGAGUGACGGUACCUCCACAAGAAGCCCCGGCUAACUACGUGCCAGCAGCUGC